rnacentral:lncRNA from 1 species
AUUUAGCCUCUCCUAUGUAGUUGAAAGUUGAAACACGCAUUUUAAAAGCCUUUCUCGUUUUUGAAUCUCAAUAGUUAUCAAUCGGUAUUUUCAGAUGCAUGUAUGUGUAUUAUUAUAAUUUUAAUUAUUCUCACUUAAAAUGGGCUUUAUUGAUCCAGUUACCAGCCAAAAGAAGAUUUUGCUACACCUUCAAGGGUUCACAACCUAGGAAUGAAAUCUCCACACUUUUCAGGAAACACAAAUUCCAACAUGCCACCUAACAUUCAUGGCUGUAGUUCUAUCCAACAAAACCAUUUGAUCAUUCCUCCAAGAGUUCAUUCUGACAUCAAUUCGGAACAUAAAGCAACAAACACGGUACAGAAACAGCUUAAGCUUGCAUCUAAAGGAGUUAGCUCCGUCGAUGUUGCAAAGCUAUUGUUGCCUUCUCCUACUACGCCAAAGGAAGGCACGACCAAAGUUGGUUCAUCCUCUUCUGACCAAAGUACAUAGUACAUCUGGAACAAAUCAAACCUUGGUGGAAAUUCCAAAGGGAAUUAACUUUCUUGCUUUUGGGAAAGAUCCUGUGUGCAGUUUUAAGAGUUCUAUUAACUCCCUUGUAAAUGGGGAAAAUAGUAUUGAUCUGCUCCAGAAUAUAAGUUUCAGUUUGCUUGAUCAUACUAGUUCAACCUUAAAAGAUGCAACAAAAGGAAGGGUACCACAGACUGAUUUAGUCUCCAGUGAGAUUUCUGGUAAAAAUCAAUCCGCGGCAGAAAGUAUAAAAUUGAGUUUUUACAGGGAAAGCUUCAAUGAAUGAUAUGCUUCAACUGGUUUACAAGGUAGCUCUCAUGUGGAUAACAACGUAAGUAAACCAGUCCAAGAGGCAAGAGGGGCAUCUGAUUCUUGUCAAAUUCCCGCAGCAAUAUGGUUGCCAUUUAUGCGUCUGGUUUCUCCUUCAUCUUCAGAACAGCUACCAUCUAGAAAGGAGCUCUUGUCGACUGUAUUGUCAUUUGCAGCAGAGCAUGAAUCAGUUCAACUGCAUGAUGAAAGAUUCUGCUGGCACUUCAACUGCAUAAUUGGGUGAGAACUGAGAAGGAAUACAGUAAUAGCAGUUCAAGGUUGUUAGCUUCUUUCAUUAAGUGUAUUUAGGAUAUUAUUGAAUCAGUUAAUGAUAUGAUAAUUAAUUGUAUAUAUAAUGUAAUUUAUAUGCAUAUAUUUCAUCAUGCUUGUAUAAACUAAUCUUCAUCAUGUAGUCUAGACUCUUCGUGUUUUUCUUUCUUCUCACAUGGCAUCGAGAGUCAAAAGCAAAAUUUAUCGCUUUGUGGCAGUAGAGUGGAGUUUACCAAAGGUUAGAAAUGGAUUGGAUUUAGGAAUAAAAUUAGAAUUAGAAAAAGGGGUUUAAAAAUUUUGGUAGUGUUUUUGUUAGGAUUUGAUUUAUGAUGAAAGGUGCAUUGCAGAUACACAUAGACUCUUACGUAGCAAUUGUUAGUGUUUGUUUUCAGAGGCUCUGAUUGGAAGAUUUAGAGCCCGUUUGGACAAAAAGUUACUUUUUUCAACUUUUGACUUAUAAAAAAUUACAUUAAUAUGUUUGGUACAAAUUUUUAGAUAAACUUUUAACUUUUCAAAAAGUUAUUUAAGAGUUUUUGAAAAAGUUAAAAAAUAUGACUUCUCCUAUUUUCAAAAGCUAUUUUAUCACUUUUAUUUAAUGUAUAAUUUUAAAACAAUGACUUCCAUAAUAACUUUCCAAACUCAAAAUAACUUAUUUAAAAGUUAAUAUUAAUAAAAGUCCUUAUAUUUUAAACUCUUUUUUCAAAAGAACUUAUUUAAGAAGUUUAGCCAAAAUGGCCCUAUAUAUAACAACUCACUAGCAAGCAAUAGACCAUUGAAUAAAAUUCAGAUCUAGCAAAUGAGUCUUUGUUUUGCUGAAUUAGAAAAUACCAUGGAAAAAACAAACUAAUCUACCAACAUUGAAACUGAAACUUGCAGUUUUUUCUGAAUUGUAGGUUCUUGUUCUUGUAGUGUUCUUUAUUUGUUUUGUUUCUUUUGUUGGAUACCAGAGAUAAAAAAGGUAGGAGGUGUAUGAAAACUAAGUUACAAUCUCGUGUUGAAUUGCUGAUUUUGCUGGUAAGUUACAACACAUGCACAAAAUAACUGCUCAAAAUUUCUUGCCAAAGGAUUACCAAAACAAAAGAGAAGGUGUAUAAAUAACAGCCAAAAAGUUAGGCUAUACUAAUCAAAUGAAACCAAAAAUAAAAAAACUAAUGAUCAAUCAAGAUCCACUAUUUUGAAGCUAUAUUAAGUCCAGCCGUUUCCUCGAGCAGCAGCCGCUCCUUUAGCGAGUCGAGCUUCUCCUGGUUCUUAGCUCUGACUUGAGGCAAAACCUUCUCUUCAUAACCUGGAGCACUCAUAAUCUUCUCUAGUUUUUCAAUUUGCCUGUGUUUUCAAUGUGUCAAUUUAGAAGCAGUGAAUUUGGUUGGUAUUUAUAACUCGCUAUGCUAAAAUGAGUUUUCAGAAGCAGUUAGGUAUAAACUUACUUCUUAAGCUCCUAUAUUGAUUUUGAAAUUGCAGCCAUGCUCCUUUUUCGCUUGUCACUCCUGCAUGAAAGGGGAUGACUGCCCUUUUGAUCAUCAACUCUUCAAGUAUCCUUGUGUUAGCUUUGUGUUCGGAGGGAGGUUUUUGUGUUAGAGGUGAAUGCAUGCUUUUUUUCGCACCAGAUACCACAUCCACCCUAUAUCUCUUCCUGUAAAAUGCUUGUGAUUUCAAUCCAAAUACAAAGGUUUUUGUUAGCAUAUAUAAUUAGGAUAAUUAGGUUGUGCAUUAUGUGUUAGCUUUGAGGAAAAUUUCCCAAAGGGCAGCAGGUAUACAGGCACAAGAAGUUCAGGGACAGUUUUGUAAUUAAGCAGAAUCAGGAAGUGGGAGAAUUGAGUGCCCUGUUUCCCUUUGCUUGUUUCUAGUUCCCCUCUAUCUUCUCUUCAACUGUGAUCUGAGAUUCUAGGCUCAUCUGGAUGAUACUAUACUACUUCUAUUCUGUGUGUUUGUGGUUUCUUGCAUUAUUUUUUUUUGGUGACUGAAAUAAAUUAAACAAAGAAAAACAAAACAAACAAAACAAGGAACGGCCUAAAUAGAGGGACAGUCCCGUUUAAGAUUACUCUUAAACUCCUCCCAAGGUUCUUGCAUUAUGUUUUUAGUGAAAUUGUAUGUUCAUAUAUAUUUCAUUGUUUAAUACUUAGUGUCUAUGUAAUUUAGCCUCUCUGUCGGUGAAACACGCAUUUUAAAAGCCUUUUUCAUUUUUGAAUCUCAAUAGUUAUCAAUCGGUAUUUCCAGAUGCAUGUAUGUGUAUUAUUAUAAUUUUAAUUAUUCUCACUUAAAAUGGGCUUUAUUGAUCCAGUUACCAGCCAAAAGAAGAUUUUGCUACACCUUCAAGGGUUCACAACCUAGGAAUGAAAUCUCCACACUUUUCAGGAAACACAAAUUCCAACAUGCCACCUAACAUUCAUGGCUGUAGUUCUAUCCAACAAAACCAUUUGAUCA